AUCAGGUAGGAAUACCCGCUGAACUUAAGCAUUAUCAAUAAGCGGAGGA
rnacentral:rRNA from 1 species